ensembl:lncRNA
UAUUACUUAUCAGAGCAUUUUGUGGAUGAAUAAUAACCACAGGGCAAGACCUAUGACCUUAAUAAGAACCUUCAACGAAUUUUAGAGUAAUUUGUGCCUCUUGCGGAGUGGUCUUUUAGAGCUCUACUGUUCUGAACAGAAACUUGAUCCCAGCUCCCUUUAGGUACUGGAAGGAUUUACUGUAUUUGACUCCAGCUAAUUUCUCCAGAAUGGGUUGGAUAUGCUUGCCUCCCAGCCAGGCCUGUGCAUUUAUCUCUUUCUGCUUUCUAGCAUUCAUCAAAAGCAUCAUAGUUUUGUCAAUUAAUUCUAAACUACUACAGAUGCAAAGAGCACAAUAAGACUUCGAUAGAGCAAAUUCUGAGCUACAGAGCACUAUUUUUCAACAGUUACCACCAUUAGCUAAACAUUUUCACCAGUCUUGAUUAUUUGUCCAGGUUCCAGGAAAUCUAGAAGGUUCACCCCUUUCCUGUCCCAGAAGAAACUUUACUUGCUGAAGGCUGCAUCCUGAACUUUUUGUUUGAUGAGGAAUUCAUGUCACCACUCCAUGGACUGCUGUUUUGACUCUGGCUUGUAGUGGUGACACCAUGGCUCAUCACUGGUACGAUGUACGAUGUACGAUCCAGGGAACUGUAACCUUCAGCCUCAUAUUGGUUCAAUAGAUCCUGACAAACUUGCAUAAGCUAUUCCUUCUUUUCCUCUGUGAGCAUUUGUUGGACCCAUCUGGUUGAAACUUUGCAGUAUUCCAAAGGUGCCACCAUAGUUUCCUAUUCAUCAAAGCUGAUAUUCAUCUCUGUAUACACUUCUCUGAUUGUAAUUCCCAAUUUGCUGAUCGAGAUGGUCUUUAUUUCAUGGUGUGACAGUUAUUCAUGGCUAUCCAGAACAUGGAUUGUCUUUCAUGUUUCUGUCACCACUGCUGAAAUGUACCACCCACAACCCCACUUUCCUAACAUCUACUGUUUGUUCUCCAUAAAUGAUGGGCAAGUGUCAAUGGAUGUCAAUAGGUGCAAUUAUUCCUCAUGUAGAAAUUCAAUUACAUAUCUCUUUGUCAGCUGUCAUUUUGUCAGACUGCCCCUCUAAGGGAAUAUUGGUGGGAAUAUUCAACCUCUAUUGCCAUACCCCCAACAUUUGCCUCUGACUUUGUGGGCCAAUAUAAUAAAAUAGGAGACAUUCCUUUUGGAGCCUUCAUACAUAAUCUGAGAGUAAAAAAACAGUUCCCAUUUACUUGGUACAUAAGUGCAUAAAAAUUUCAAGAUAAAUAAUAGUUGUCUAAUUACAUGUCCACAUGCAUUUUUACUGCCAGAAAGAAUAUUCUAACACUCCAUUUUUUGCCCUUUGACAUACAAGUAAUUUUCAACCCAAAAAACUGUGGUCCUGUCUAAUAUGGCUCCCACUCAAGUCAGUAAGGCUAAACUGUGGCUUAAGACUGGUCCACCAUCCAGUAAUCUUCUCAGUUCAGAAUGCUGUGUGUAUUCAUACAUACCUACUGGCUUGAGUUAGCCAGAGAAUAUAAACUAUCCCGAGUAUGAGACAUGCCAAUUCAGGAUUAAUAGAUGAAAACUGAAGGUACCAUUUUGAGCAUGAAACUGCUUGUUCCAAAAUCGUACUUGCGUUUUUAAAUAAAAUUACUUUAAAAGAUUAUUUUAAAAAUAAUUGUAAGCCAGAGAUUCCAUAUUCAAGGACACAAGGAAAACUACAGAGAAAUGUGUUCUUUCAUACUUUUUUAAAAAAAUCUGAUAUUCAUAUUAAUUGGAACAUUUCACAAGAAAUAAGUCUAAUUUUGCAAAAGGGAAUUCUGGUAUUAAUUGGAGUUAUUCUUAUCAACACUGUGUUCUGUUUACAGAAAAUUCUUUUACAGUUUUGGUUCUCAGCUUAGUAACUCUUAAAUGUUACAUGCACUACCUAAACGCAAAUAAAGCUACAGGUUCUAUAUAACUAGAUAGUAAUAGUUUUCCAGUAAAUUUCAACAAAGUCUCAGUAUUUGAUGUCACUGAAAUGCCAUUUUUAUAUCCUCUAAUUCCAUUUCUCUUUGGUACUUAUUAAAUAAAAAAACCACUCAUUUAUAUCCCUUCCUAUAGAUCCUUCCAAAACAAGCAAAUUCUAUAGAGAAACUAUGAAGUCAGAGCUGUUUUAAGGAAAUCUAAUUAGGCAAAUAUACUUCGGUUUCCCCUAAUGAAGCUGUAACAGUAUAUAUUAGAAGGCAGAGUAUGAAUGAUUUUAGUUUUGCUGGUUUUGAUUACUGGUAAUUUAACUUGAGUUCAAGUAUGUUUGAACUUUCAAUAGCAAGGAAAAUGCCAAUGUUUUGAAGGGAAGCUGUGGUUGUUUCAGUGCCCAAGUUCAGAAUAUUCAUAUAAAGAACAAAUAGAAUAUUUUCAAAAUUGAAGAGGGAAAACAAUUCCCAUUAAAGGAAAGUAUGGAAUUCACAAUGAUCUAGGAACAAUUAAUUUUCCCACCUUUUGUAUACAGAAACACUCUUGUUCAUUGGAAUGAACCACUGGAGAAAGGCAGACUAAAUUUCAGAAGUCAAUCACUGAAAAAUUUAAAGACAAUCCAGAAGUAAUCUCUCUGCUGUUACAUUAUAGGUUAUAAAGAAAGGCAAAAGAAAGCGUUUUUGAAAAAUAUGCAGAAAAAUGAUGAUAUUUUCUGCUACUUAUUUAAGGAACCUGUGAAGGCUGUUACUGUAAAAUCAUAUGUUUUAAGAUGUAAAAAUUCUGGUAGAAGAAAAUAACCACAACAAUAUUAAAAACUAAAAAACAAAACAAACAAAAACGCUAAUCCACUAACACAGAUUUAGUGUCUGUAAUAUCAAAAUUAGCAUAUAUUUUGCACUUCACUUUUUAAUUGAUUUAACUUUAGUAAAAGAUUCUGAUGCUUGGUAGAUUAUUUCAAAUGUGUGAAUCCUUUUGAAAAUAAAAGCAGGAUUUCAUUCAAACUAUAUUACCUUUCUGAACCUGAUUAUUUUUGGCUGCUCAAUCAUAAUAUAUAUUAUCUGUCUAUCUAUUAUGUCUGCAUAUAUAUAUAAGGACCUAACUAAAAAGAAAAUCUGUGCUAGCUCUUAGAGACUGUGAAGUCAUGAAGUUCAUUUCAUCAGUGAUAUUUUAAACUGAGAAACUCAAAAAGUGUACAACAAAUAUGAGGUCAAGUCAGGAACAUUAUCAUAUGCUUACCUUAGGCAUUUUGAGUUUGUGUAUAGACUAAAUAAUUCCUGCGGCCUUAUCAAGGGUUUCUUGUCUAUCCUCUGGGCAAGAAGAAAAGAAAUCUAGAAAUAUUUUUCAGUAUGUUUCAAGACCAUAUUUUAAUUGGCAGAGAAGGAAUAAUUAAAAUAGCAUUGAUUUGGCUUUGUCGUUAGCACCUCACUGCCAUGUGACAACAGCUAUAUAGGCAGCCAUUAGAGUCUAUUGGUAUCUAUUGUGCUUCUGUAACUAAGUGGGGAAUAUCUGGCAACAAUGAGCCAUCAGAAACUGGGCCCACUGCAGUUGCAAGUAAUUGUUAAUCUAACACAUCAUCUUUUAAAACUGUGGCUGCUAUGGAUUUGCAUUGGUUUUGAGUUCUGUAGUAAAAACAGGUUAAAAUAAAUGAAAGUUUCAAUAUGUAAAUUCUUCACAAGAGUCCUGUGGUAAUUCUGUCCUUGGGUGAGAAUUGUCUUCACUUUCUUUGAUUUCCUACAUGCAUUUGAAAUUUGGAAACACUUUAAGGAAGAGACUGUGUCUCUUAUUAGUAGUGCAUUAGCUAGAGUCAUUAGGCACUGCUAACAACAACAAAAGAUAAUUAUUUCUGGUAUAAAAAUAUUUACUCUCAUACAUUUGGUUGGAGAUAUUAAGAUAGAAAGUGUUAGUGUACACUUCAAUAACUAUCUUCAUAACAAAAAGCAAGAGGUUACUUUCUAAGAAGUUAAGCUAAAUAUUCAGAAAACAGUAGAUACUGUACUCAGUUAUUACUCAGUAAUACAGUACAGUUACUGUACUGUAUUAAAAUAGCUGAAUCUUCAGCGUUUUAUGAUUGCAGGUUCCCAUCAGCCCAGCAGAAAAUCAUCAAAAUAGAUGGAAAUAGGAUAUGCUGCAGUCUGCAAGUAGCUGUCUUUUUAUUAGCCCCUUAAUAAUCCAUCCACAGUGUGCUGCUGUAAUGAAACAGAAAUUCUUUGUUGUUGUUGUAUUUGUUUUUUCAGAAGGAAAUCAUUUUGUGAUCAUACACAGCCCUUCAGUAUGCAAUAAAUGUGGUUGCCAAAAGCAUUCUGUUCCUUACUUUUGUUUCAAGUUUUCUUAGAGUUAACUUAGUGCCAAAGGCACCAGACUGUCAGUACAGGAAUAUGAGGCCUGAAAACUGAAGUCCUCUGUUUAUUCACAGAAUGGUUGCAUUAUGUGUCUGAUUUUGCUAUCCUGUCAUUGUCACGUGCUAGUAGCAAGAUCCAUUAAUGUAAGGGUAAGACAUAUUUCCUCAAUAAAAAUCUCUGUUGAGACUACAAGCAAUCACAACUGCCAUUAUCUAUUGUAAUGACAUUUUUAAUUUUGCAAAUGCCCAGCUAUUAAAGCAGGACUAAAAAAAGUGUUCUAAUUUUACAUAUCUGUGUUAACAAUUGUCCAAGAAUAAAAAUCUUGAGGGAAAGGAUUUUAAAAUUACAUGAAAUUUUCAUAAUUAAGAAAUUAAUUCCCACUGCAAAAGGGAGCAGCAUAGAAUCCAACUUCAAGCCUUGAGGUGACUAGACACAUGGCUUUAAGAAAUCACUAGGGAAGACCUACACAGGAAUAAAUAUUAUACAUCCUGUGAGGCUUAUUAUGUCAAUUCCUUUUUUGACUUCUAAUGAGAAGAAAAGUACCUUCCAUCUCUGUGGCUCAGUAGUCUUCCUGCCAGUAUGACUCUUGAAUUUCCAUAAAGCAGAAGAACAUUACAGUGGAUGAAGAUUUCUU